rnacentral:rRNA from 1 species
GUGGGGAAUAUUGGGCAAUGGGCGCAAGCCUGACCCAGCAACGCCGCGUGAGGGAAGAAGGCUUUCGGGUUGUAAACCUCUGUCCUUGGUGACGAAACAAAUGACGGUAGCCAAGGAGGAAGCCCCGGCUAACUACGUGCCAGCAGCCGCGGUAAUACGUAGGGGGCGAGCGUUGUCCGGAAUGACUGGGCGUAAAGGGUGCGUAGGUGGCCUUUUAAGUUGGAUGUGAAAUACCCGGGCUUAACUUGGGGGGUGCAUCCAAAACUGUGAGGCUAGAGUGCAGGAGAGGAAAGCGGAAUUCCUAGUGUAGCGGUGAAAUGCGUAGAUAUUAGGAGGAACACCAGUGGCGAAGGCGGCUUUCUGGACUGUAACUGACACUGAGGCACGAAAGCGCGGGGAGCAAACAGGAUUAGAAACCCGGGUAGUCC